rnacentral:rRNA from 1 species
UUUUCUGAGAGUUUGAUUCUGGCUCAGAACGAACGCUGGUAGCGUGGAUUAGGCAUGCAAGUCGAACGGGAUCCGCAAGGUAGCAAUACUGAGUGGUGAGAGUGGCGGAAGGGCGAGGAACACGUGAGCAACCUGUCCUUGAGGUGGGGAAAACCGUUGGAAACGACGGCUAAUACCGAAUGUGGCGCUCCAACACAUGUUGGGAACGCUAAAGGGGGCCGCAAGGCUCUCCCUCUUUGAGGGGCUCGCGCAUCAUCAGCUUGUUGGCGGGGUAACGGCCCACCAAGGCUUACGA